GACGAACCGAGCGAACGUUGUUCGGAAUCACUGGGCUUAAAGAGCGCGUAGGCGGGCUGCCGCGUCCGGGGUGAAAUCCCACGGCUCAACCGUGGAACUGCCCCGGAUACGGGCGGCCUCGAGGGGGGUAGGGGCAUCUGGAACUGUGAGUGGAGCGGUGAAAUGCGUUGAUAUUCACAGGAACUCCGGUGGCGAAGGCGAGGUGCUGGACCCCUCCUGACGCUGAGGCGCGAAAGCCAGGGGAGCAAACGGG
rnacentral:rRNA from 1 species